UGCUCAUAGAUGUCCUUGACAGCAUUUUCUGUGAUUCCUCUCAUGGUAAACGUCUUACCACUACUAGUUUGCCCAUAUACAAAGAUCGUUGCAUUAAUUCCCAUAAGAGCAGAGAGAGCAACAUUCUUAGCCCCUUCUUCAUAAACCCUUUGAGUUGAGCAAGUAGGAUCAAAAACUUGAUCAAAAGUGUAUGCUGUUGCUGGCCGCUCAUGAUUUGGAUUCUUGAAGACUAUUGUGUGAUCAUCCGGGCAAUCCCAAGCGAUAA
rnacentral:misc_RNA from 1 species